rnacentral:lncRNA from 1 species
GUUACUUCACUUCACUUUAAUGUAAAUUUCCGGGUUUUUAUUGUAUUCCAUCCCUUGAUACCUCGAAAGUGCGAAAACCGCUGCUAUCUUCCUUUCGGGUCUCCAGUUGAUUGAAUAGGGGCAACUAUAAUACCCCAAAAUUUACCCUUCAUUUUUCCCUAGGAACAUGGGAUUUUGCUUUACACUUCAUUAGCAUCAUACUAGGUCAUACUCAUUGCAUACUGCAUUAGAGACUUGGGAAAUC